CGCAGCCGCGGUAAUUCCAGCUCCAAUAGCGUAUAUUAAAGUUGUUGCAGUUAAAAAGCUCGUAGUUGAAUUUCGAGAUCAAAUUGUUGGUCGUGCCUCGGUACGUACUGGCAUUAUUGAUUUCUCCCUUCUGAAGAACCACGAUGUCAUUAAUUUGGUGUCGUGGGGAAUCAGGACUGUUACUUUGAAAAAAUUAGAGUGUUUAAAGCAGGCUCACGCUUGAAUACAUUAGCAUGGAAUAAUGAAAUAGGACGUUUGAUUCUAUUUUGUUGGUUUCUAGGAUCGACGUAAUGAUUAAUAGGGAUAGUUGGGGGCAUUAGUAUUCAAUUGUCAGAGGUGAAAUUCUUGGAUUUAUUGAAGACUAACUACUGCGAAAGCAUUUGCCAAGGAUGUUUUCAUUAAUCAAGAACGAAAGUUAGGGGAUCGAAGACGAUCAGAUACCGUCGUAGUCUUAACCAUAAACUAUGCCGACUAGGGAUCGGAUGAUGUUAAUUUUUAAUGUACUCAUUCGGCGCCUUAA
rnacentral:rRNA from 1 species